rnacentral:lncRNA from 1 species
GAACUCGAGCGAGCCUAAUUUCGAGUCGAGCGAGCUCGAGCCUUAAACGAGCCGCUUAAAAUUCUCAACAUCAUACGAUCAAUAGUUUAAUUUGUAUAGAAUAUUAUCUAUAAUUUGAUACAAAAAUAUGUCUAAUAGUUCAAAAUACAAAAUAAUUCUAUGAAAUAUAGUAUUAUAAUAUGAAGGAAAAUAAUUUAUGAGUUGAAUACUUAAUCUUUUCAGGCUCACAUGUCUUCUCUUCCGCCUUCAAUCUCUAUAUUAUUUAUUUUUAUUUAUGCAGUCAAAAAUAAAUAAAUUAUAUAGAUAAAUAUUGGAUUAAACUAUCCAAUCAUAUAUAACUAGAAUUAAAAUUUUUUAUAAAUAAUAACUUUUUACUUUAAAAAUAUUCUGCAUAUUUUCUCAAGCAUACAAUUAAUAGUAAGGUAGCCAACGGCGGGCAUAUACUGUUAUUUGGUAACUUGGAGGGCUUCCGACUUGGCUACGUAGGGUGAGAGACAGAAAAAAAGAAAGAGAGAAACAUAUUGAAAUUUAGAGCUCUGUGAAAGAAAGAAAGAAAGGAAAAAUAUAUAAAUUUAAUGAAAUUUUGUUCUUUUAUUUGUCUAUUGGGUUUGUUUUUAUGGGCCAACAACAUUGGCCCAAUUUUAACUAAACUCAGGUUAUUCACUCAGCCUAUA